rnacentral:lncRNA from 1 species
AACGUUGCGUCCCUUCUGCAUCUGCUGAGGCUGGCACUGUGAUGAGCAUUUUGAAGUACGAAAGCAUUUUGCCACAACUUUCACCCAUUCUUUCAUCUAUCAAGGAAUGCACUCAUGGCGUGAAUACUAAAGUGGCUGCUGCUUCUUGCUGAGAUCGUGCGAGUCAGUCCACAACUCUUCCAUUUUUUCUGAAAAUAUUCUUGCAAAGCCAACUUGGUUUGCAUG